UUGCAGCUGUGGGAAGCAGUUUCAAUCAUUCAAAAAGCAUGGUAUACUGUAAAAUCAUAAGUAUUUGUGUGGAGAGAUUUUUGUGGUUGCGUCAGUGCACAGAAUCAAAUAUCAACAUGAUCAAGGAAAAAGCUUUCUUCUUGAGAGCAGGCAGCUACAAAAUGGAAGGUCAACAAAACCAGUAUACUUGAAAAGCAAGAAAGAAACACCAGGAAAUAUGAAUAGACAGAAGAACAAGGGAACUUGAAUAAAAAAACAAAACUUUUAAAGAUAGGAAUUCAGGAUAUACUUAGAAAUUAAAUUUAUUUUGAGAACAGCAGUGAUUGACUAAGCUCUGUUACUUUAAGAGAUAAAGAUUACAUUUCUGUGCGGAAGGAUUAAAAAACUACACCAGACUGGUGGCCAUGACAGAUGUCAGUGGGAAAUUUAAACAUGGACUAGAUACUUUGAUGUGUAGCAAAAAAGUUCAUCAUUGAUGGUGGUGUUUUUCUGUGAUAUAUUGACUGGGAUAGUAUUACUCUUCAGAAAUACAGAGCUGUCAAUGCUGCAAUUUUGUUGUGAAAUUCACAAUCCAUGUCCAAAAGUGCUUGUUUUACUAUACAGCAAAAAAGGAGAAAUUGUACCGGGCCGACACCGUUAGUUGUAGACAUGAAGAAGAAACAUCCAAAUGAUCAAGAAGAAACAACUGUGUGAAUAACACCAAAAUAAAGUGGUUACUACAUGUGUCUGGAAACUGGUCCUGUGCGGAUACAGGUUUCAAACCAGUACAGAUGUUAUGUACCAGUAAGCUGUACUUGCUCUUCUAAUUGAACAGUAAAGAAGGCAGAGUGUUACAGACACAAGGAUCAUGCUGCAGUGAGAAACCAAGAAAUUCCUGUUGUUGUGUGCCAUGGAGUGUCAUAGAGAAAGGAUAUGGAAAAUACAGGGAUAAGGAUGUGUGAAGCUGCAAGAAAGCAAGCUGGAAGCUAUAUACCCAGAAUUUCAGGAGAAUAGGGGCUGUACGUCUGUGAAGGGUAUUGUUAUGAGAUGUAGGGAGUUGCUCAACAGAUUGAAUUGUUAAUGUAAGAGAAUAAGUAUUAAAAAAUGCUGAUCUAAAUUCAAAAUAAUUUCACAGCAGUGUUCCUUAGGUGAUCUACCAGAUUCAAUCCACUAAA